rnacentral:rRNA from 1 species
GAUGAACGCUGGCGGCGUGCCUAAUACAUGCAAGUCGAGCGAACGGACGAGAAGCUUGCUUCUCUGAUGUUAGCGGCGGACGGGUGAGUAACACGUGGAUAACCUACCUAUAAGACUGGGAUAACUUCGGGAAACCGUAGCUAAUACCGGAUAAUAUAUUGAACCGCAUGGUUCAAAAGUGAAAGACGGUCUUGCUGUCACUUAUAGAUGGAUCCGCGCUGCAUUAGCUAGUUGGUAAGGUAACGGCUUACCAAGGCAACGAUGCAUAGCCGACCUGAGAGGGUGAUCGGCCACACUGGAACUGAGACACGGUCCAGACUCCUACGGGAGGCAGCAGUAGGGAAUCUUCCGCAAUGGGCGAAAGCCUGACGGAGCAACGCCGCGUGAGUGAUGAAGGUCUUCGGAUCGUAAAACUCUGUUAUUAGGGAAGAACAUAUGUGUAAGUAACUAUGCACAUCUUGACGGUACCUAAUCAGAAAGCCACGGCUAACUACGUG